rnacentral:rRNA from 1 species
UGGGGAGUAUUGGACAAUGGGCGAAAGCCUGAUCCAGCCAUGCCGCGUGUGUGAAGAAGGUCUUCGGAUUGUAAAGCACUUUAAGUUGGGAGGAAGGGCAUUAACCUAAUACGUUAGUGUUUUGACUUUACCGACAGAAUAAGCACCGGCUAACUCUGUGCCAGCAGCCGCGGUAAUACAGAGGGUGCAAGCGUUAAUCGGAAUUACUGGGCGUAAAGCGCGCGUAGGUGGUUUGUUAAGUUGGAUGUGAAAUCCCCGGGCUCAACCUGGGAACUGCAUUCAAAACUGACUGACUAGAGUAUGGUAGAGGGUGGUGGAAUUUCCUGUGUAGCGGUGAAAUGCGUAGAUAUAGGAAGGAACACCAGUGGCGAAGGCGACCACCUGGACUAAUACUGACACUGAGGUGCGAAAGCGUGGGGAGCAAACA